CCAAGGAGUCUAACAUGUGCGCGAGUCGUCGGGUCUUGAAUAGGCCCGCAGGCGAAAUGAAAGUGAAGGGCGACCGAGUUGUCGCCUGCGUUGGGAUCCCCAGACCGUCGCGUCUGGGGCGCACCAACGGCCCGUCCCGUCCGCGUCGUCGGUGGGACGGAGCGAGAGCGUACACGUUGGGACCCGAAAGAUGGUGAACUAUGCCUGGGCAGGACGAGGCCAGAGGAAACUCUGGUGGAGGUCCGCAGCGAUUCUGACGUGCAAAUCGAUCGUCAGACCUGGGUAUAGGGGCGAAAGACUAAUCGAACCGUCUAGUAGCUGGUUCCCUCCGAAGUUUCCCUCAGGAUAGCUGGCGCUCGAGGGAGUCAGUCUCAUCCGGUAAAGCGAAUGAUUAGAGGCCUUGGGGCCGAAACGACCUCAACCUAUUCUCAAACUUUCAAUGGGUGAGAAGUCCGGUUUACAUGACUGAAGCCCGGACAAUUCUCAGGAUGCGAGUGCCCAGUGGGCCACUUUU
rnacentral:rRNA from 1 species